AGAGAUUAAGGUUUGAUUAGGGUUUGAUUUAGGAUUUAGGAUUUAGUUUAGAAUAUAGGAUUUGGAUUAGGGUUUGGUUUAGGGUUUAGGAUUUGGAUUACGGUUUGGUUUAGGAUUUAGGAUUUGAAUAGGAUUUGGUUUAGGAUUUAGGAUUUGUAUUAGGAUUUGGUUUAAGGUUUAGAGUUUAGGGUUUAGAUUAGGGUUUGGUUAGGGAUUAAGGUUUGAUUAGGAUUUGGUUUAGGAUUUAGGGUUUGUCUAGGGUUUGAUUAAGGUUGGAUUAGGAUUAGGAUUUGGUUAGAAUUUAAGGUUUUAUUAGAUUUUUGUUAGAGUUUGACUAAGUUUUUUGUAAUAUUCUUUUAUAUUUCUUUCGGAUUUCUUUGUGUUUCUUUUAUAACUUCAAUAAAAUUUAAUUGAGCUUGCUUAAUGUUUGAUUAUGAUUGUUAACAUUUAAUUAUAAAUUCUCUAUAAUCCUAUUGAAUUGUUAGGACCUUUUGUUGCAAUUUUCUUUUACCUUCCACAGCUAGGUGCUCGGUGCAUUCUCAAGCAAGACUUCACGUAAUACGACAUAUUUGGUGAACUUGACGUGAAAUGCUUGAGGUGAAAGGAAUUUGGUUUUCUUGGAUUAUUUGAAUUUUGGAGAAGAAAUACAAGAAAGUUGGAAGAAGAGCUUUGGGUGAUAUGUGAAUUGGAGCUUUUGAAUUCUUGGAGCUUUGGAAACUAUCUUAAUAUACAAUAGCAAUAUUUUGAUUAUCAUGGAGUAUUAUAAGGCUUUAUAGAUAUGUUGGAGCAUUUUGAAGUAUCAUAAGGUAUUUAUUGGAGUAUUCCAAGGAAUAGUUUUGAUCAUUGUAGAACAAAAUGGAAGAUGUAUCAUGAAGGUUUUUGGAUAUACCGAAUAUUAUGGAUGGAUCAAAUAUUAGUGAGUUUUUUAAGG
rnacentral:lncRNA from 1 species